AAUGGGCGAAAGCCUGACGCAGCAACGCCGCGUGCGGGAUGACGGCCUUCGUGGUUGUAAACCGCUUUCAGCAGGGACGAAACUGACGGUACCUGCAGAAGAAGCCCCGGCUAACUACGUGCCAGCAGCCGCGGUAAUACGUAGGGGGCAAGCGUUGUCCGGAUUUAUUGGGCGUAAAGAGCUCGUAGGCGGCUCGGUAAGUCAGGUGUGAAACCUCCAGGCUCAACCUGGAGACGCCACCUGAUACUGCCGUGGCUUGAGUCCGGUAGGGGAGCGUGGAAUUUCUGGUGUAGCGGUGAAAUGCGCAGAUAUCAGAAGGAACACCAGCGGCGAAGGCGGCGCUCUGGACCGGAACUGACGCUGAGGAGCGAAAGCGUGGGUAGCAAA
rnacentral:rRNA from 1 species